AGAGUUUGAUCAUGGCUCAGGAUGAACGCUGGCGGCGUGGAUAAGGCAUGCAAGUCGAGGGAUUCUGCUUCGGCAGAAGACCGGCGAACGAGUUAGUAACACGUGGAUACAUACCCCAAAGUCAGGCAUAGCCUGGAGAAAUCCAGGGUAAUUCCUGAUAGUUCCCUGCUUGCAGGGUAAAGAUUUAUCGCUUUGGGAUUGGUCUGCGGCUUAUCAGCUUGUUGGCGGGGUAACGGCCCACCAAGGCAAUGACGAGUAGGGGGCAUGAGAGUGCGACCCCCAACGAUGGAACUGCGACACGGUCCAUACUCCUACGGGAGGCAGC
rnacentral:rRNA from 1 species